CCUACGGGAGGCAGCAGUGAGGAAUAUUGGUCAAUGGGCGCGAGCCUGAACCAGCCAAGUAGCGUGAGGGAAGACGGCCCUACGGGUUGUCAACCUCUUUUGUCAGGGAGCAAGGUGCAGGUCGGGACCUGCUGCGAGAGUACCUGAAGAAAAAGCAUCGGCUAACCCCGUGCCAGCCGCCGCGGUAAUACGGAGGAUGCGAGCGUUUUCCGGAUUUAUUGGGUUUAAAGGGUGCGCAGGCGGAGGCACAAGUCAGCGGUAAAAUCGCGGGGCUCAACCCCGCUCCGCCGUUGAAACUGUGUCCCUUGAGUGCGCGAAGGGUAGGCGGAAUGCGUGGUGUAGCGGUGAAAUGCAUAGAUAUCGCGCAGAACUCCGAUCGCGAAGGCAGCCUACCGGCGCGCAACUGACGCUCAUGCACGAAAGCGUGGGUAUCGAACAGGAUUAGAUACCCCUGUAGUC
rnacentral:rRNA from 1 species